AGCGAACGCUGGCGGCAGGCCUAACACAUGCAAGUCGAACGGAUCCUUCGGGAUUAGUGGCGGACGGGUGAGUAACACGUGGGAACGUGCCCUUUGGUUCGGAACAACUCAGGGAAACUUGAGCUAAUACCGGGUGUGCCCUUCGGGGGAAAGAUUUAUCGCCAUUGGAGCGGCCCGCGUCUGAUUAGCUAGUUGGUGAGGUAAAGGCUCACCAAGGCGACGAUCAGUAGCUGGUCUGAGAGGAUGAUCAGCCACAUUGGGACUGAGACACGGCCCAAGCUCCUACGGGAGGCAGCAGUGGGGAAUCUUGCGCAAUGGGCGAAAGCCUGACGCAGCCAUGCCGCGUGAAUGAUGAAGGUCUUAGGAUUGUAAAAUUCUUUCACCGGGGACGAUAAUGACGGUACCUGGAGAAGAAGCCCCGGCUAACUUCGUGCCAGCAGCCGCAGUAA
rnacentral:rRNA from 1 species